rnacentral:rRNA from 1 species
AGCUCCAAUAGCGUAUAUUUAAGUUGUUGCAGUUAAAAAGCUCGUAGUUGGAUUUCGGGCGUGGAAGUUCGGUCCGCCGUUUCGGUGUGCACUGUUGUUCUGCGUCUUUCUGCCGGGGACGCGCUUCUGGCCUUAAUUGGCUGGGACGUGGAUUCGGCGAGGUUACUUUGAAAAAUUAGAGUGUUCAAAGCAAGCUAAAGCUCUGAAUACAUUAGCAUGGAAUAACGCGAGAGGACUCGGUCCUUAUUUUGUUGGUCUUCAAGGAUGGAGUAAUGAUUAAGAGGGACGGUUGGGGGCAUUCGUAUUUCAUUGUCAGAGGUGAAAUUCUUGGAUUUAUGAAAGACGAACUACUGCGAAAGCU